rnacentral:lncRNA from 1 species
GAGCAACUCUUCUCAAAAUCUCACUCAAAAAGUGCUGAGUUGGAAUCCCAUUCUAACUAAGAAUGAGUCAUUGCCCUUCUCCGACCCUGACUGCCCAACCUGAGAGCAGACAGCUAAUGCGUUCCACUUAUUGAACAGGGUUCUAUGGUCGGUUCGUGACCCCUGGAUGCCGAAGGCGUCCUUGGGGUGAUCUCGUAGUUCCUACGGGGUGGAGAUGAUGGGGUCGGUCCAUGGAUUUUCCUUCCUUGGAAUCCCAUUCUAACUAAGAAUGAGUCAUUGCCCUUCUCCGACCCUGACUGCCCAACCUGAGAGCAGACAGCUAAUGCGUUCCACUUAUUGAACAUGGUUCUAUGGUCGGUCCG